rnacentral:rRNA from 1 species
GGGCGCAAGCCUGAUGCAGCCAUGCCGCGUGUGUGAAGAAGGCCUUCGGGUUGUAAAGCACUUUCAGUCAGGAGGAAAGGUUAGUAGUUAAUACCUGCUAGCUGUGACGUUACUGACAGAAGAAGCACCGGCUAACUCCGUGCCAGCAGCCGCGGUAAUACGGAGGGUGCGAGCGUUAAUCGGAAUUACUGGGCGUAAAGCGUACGCAGGCGGUUUGUUAAGCGAGAUGUGAAAGCCCCGGGCUUAACCUGGGAACUGCAUUUCGAACUGGCAAACUAGAGUGUGAUAGAGGGUGGUAGAAUUUCAGGUGUAGCGGUGAAAUGCGUAGAGAUCUGAAGGAAUACCGAUGGCGAAGGCAGCCACCUGGGUCAACACUGACGCUCAUGUACGAAAGCGUGGGGAGCAAACAGGAUUAGAUACCCUGGUAGUCCACGCCGUAAACGAUGUCUACUAGGAGCUGGGGUCUUCGGACAACUUUUCCAAAGCUAACGCAUUAAGUAGACCGCCUGG